rnacentral:lncRNA from 1 species
UUGAUUGGAUUCGGAUAACCUGUAAACUCAACAUGGUCUAAAAAAUAUUAGUUCCUAUUUAACAUUAAACAUUUAAUAUAAUUGUGCCCAUAUUACUAUUAAUAUAUAAUUUUAUUCAACAUACAAUUGUACAUUAAUACUUAUGAUCAUGCAAAUCACACCCUUUAUUUAAUUUGACAUCCUGAGAAAGUAAAAUAGAUACACCAAGCUUCACUACUACAUAUAUAUAUAUAUAUAUAAUAUAUAAUAGCCACAAUUAUUUCUUCUCCCCUUGUUGAAUUUAGAUUAUGGAGUUGGAUUCAUACCCUUAAUCAUCCAUGUCUUGGCAAAAUAAAAGGUUAACUUGGUCACCGACAUGCAAAUAAGUUGCUGAAUCAAUCUUGUUGCUAUCUCCAUGGACAAAGUUUUUUCUAAUCAAAGCACCAUCGUUUUGUAAAAGUAUGCUGUCAGUCGACUGCACACUCUUAUUUGUAGUUGUAACUUGACGAUAGGUUGAAAUUGUUUCGACUCGUGAUAACGAUUUGGUCCAGUGAGCAUUCUUCAAUUCUUCUAUCUCUUUCUCAAAUCUAUUUACCUCCUCUUCC